GACGAACGCUGGCGGCGUGCCUAAUACAUGCAAGUCGAACGCAGUGGGGACGGGUGCGUAACACGUGGGUCACCUCCCAUCAGAGGGGAUAACACUUGGAAACAGGUGCUAAACCGAUCCUGAUGGCUGGACCCGCUGUGCAUUAGCUAGUUGGUGAGGUAACGGCUCACCAACGCCACGAUGCAUCGCCGACCUGCGAGGGUGAGAGGCCACACUGGGACGGAGACACGGCCCAGACUCCUACGGGAGGCAUCAGUAGGGAAUCUUCGGCAAUGGACGAAAGUCUUACCGAGCAACGCCGCGGGAGUGAAGAAGGUUUUCGGAUCGUAAAACUCUGUUGUUAGAGAAGCGGUAUCUAACCAGAAAGCCACGGCUAACUACGUGCCAGCAGCCGCGGUAAUUC
rnacentral:rRNA from 1 species